rnacentral:misc_RNA from 1 species
GAAAUGCGAUAAGUAAUGUGAAUUGCAGAAUUCAGUGAAUCAUCGAAUCUUUGAACGCACCUUGCGCUCCUUGGUAUUCCUUGGAGCAUGCCUGUUUGAGUAUCAUGAAAUCUUCAAAGUAAAUCUUUUGUUAACUCAAUUGGUUUCUACUUUGGUAUUGGAGGUCUUUGCAGCUUCACACCUGCUCCUCUUUGUUCAUUAGCUGGAUCUCAGUGUUAUGCUUGGUUCCACUAGGCGUGAUAAGUUAUCUAUCGCUGAGGACACUGUAAAAGGUGGCCAAGGUAAAUGCAGAUGAACCGCUUCUAAUAGUCCAUUGACUUGGACAAUACUUUUAUGAUCUGAUCUCAAAUCAGGUAGGACUACCCACUGAACUUAAGC